GACGAACGCUGGCGGCGUGCUUAACACAUGCCAGUCGAACGGAAAGGCCCUGCUUGCAGGGUACUCGAGUGGCGAACGGGUGAGUAACACGUGGGUGAUCUGCCCUGCACUUCGGGAUAAGCCUGGGAAACUGGGUCUAAUACCGGAUAGGAGCCAUUUUUAGUGUGAUGGUUGGAAAGUUUUUUCGGUGUAGGAUGAGCUCGCGGCCUAUCAGCUUGUUGGUGGGGUAAUGGCCUACCAAGGCGGCGACGGGUAGCCGGCCUGAGAGGGUGGACGGCCACAUUGGGACUGAGAGACGGCCCAGACUCCUAAGGGAGGCAGCAGUGGGGAAUAUUGCACAAGGGGCGCAAGCCUGAUGCAGCGACGCCGCGUGGGGGAUGACGGCCUUCGGGUUGUAAACUCCUUUCGCUAGGGACGAAGCUUUUUGUGACGGUACCUAGAUAAGAAGCACCGGCUAACUACGUG
rnacentral:rRNA from 1 species